rnacentral:lncRNA from 1 species
AGCCUCCCAAAGUGCUGGAAUUACAGGCAUGAGCCACCACGCCCAGCCGUAUGAUUACCCUUAAGAGUUAACUACCACACUCAAAAGAGGAAGCGCACACUACGCUGUGGGAACAAAAACACCAGGUGUCUGCUAUGGCCAAGGCAGAUAAGGUCUUUCUCUCCAACAGGAUCCAGAGAUGAGCCACUGGUACUAACACCCAACGGCUGAUGUAAGGGGCUGUGUCCCUUUUUAAAAAGUCAACUCAU